UGGGCAACCUGCCCUCUAGAUGGGGACAACAUCCCGAAAGGGGUGCUAAUACCGAAUGUGACAGCAAUCUCGCAUGAGGAUGCUGUGAAAGAUGGCCUCUAUUUAUAAGCUAUCGCUAGAGGAUGGGCCUGCGUCUGAUUAGCUAGUUGGUGGGGUAACGGCCUACCAAGGCGAUGAUCAGUAGCCGGCCUGAGAGGAUGAACGGCCACAUUGGGACUGAGACACGGCCCAGACUCCUACGGGAGGCAGCAGUGGGGAAUCUUCCGCAAUGGGCGAAAGCCUGACGGAGCAAUGCCGCGUGAGUGAUGAAGGAAUUCGUUCCGUAAAGCUCUUUUGUUUAUGACGAAUGUGCAGGCUGUGAAUAAUGACUUGUAAUGACGGUAGUAAACGAAUAAGCCACGGCUAACUACGUGCCAGCAGCCGCGGUAAUACGUAGGUGGCGAGCGUUGUCCGGAAUUAUUGGGCGUAAAGAGCAUGUAGGCGGUUUUUUAAGUCUGGAGUGAAAAUGCGGGGCCCAACCCCGUAUGGCUCUGGAUACUGGAAGACUUGAGUGC
rnacentral:rRNA from 1 species